CAAAUACUCCCUCCGUCCGGAAAUACUUAUCAUCAAAAUGGAUAAAAAGAGAUAUAUCUAGACAUGUAUUAAUUCUAGAUACAUCUCUUUUUAUCCAUUUUGAUGACAAGUAUUUUCGAACGGAGGGAGUAUGUG
rfam:Triticum aestivum genome assembly, contig: Triticum_aestivum_CS42_TGACv1_scaffold_516100_6BS